AGGACUCCAGGAAAAUCAUGGAAGGUAUAUAAGGAAGACAUGGGCCAGAAGAUCUACUCUUUCUCAGUGUCACUUCAGAAAAGAGCAGGCUUCCCAAGGAUAUCAACGAAACCUAGAGUAACAAGUAUAAAGGCUGGGUGAGACAACCCAAUAGGAAGAAAAAGAUCCCAAAAAGAAGACAAAAGAGAGACAGCCACUGCUCCCACGGUUAGAAGAGAAUACCAAGGUUUUCUGGGCUACUCCUUCGAUGGUUCCUAGCAAUCCAGGAAGAUUAUAGCAUGGUCUCCUUUUUAUGAUGGGUCUCCAUAGGACCUUCUCAGCCAACGAC